rnacentral:lncRNA from 1 species
CACUGAUCUGGAUUAGCCUGAACCUUCGCACAAGAUUCACACAACUGAUCUUGCACAACAUAUUCGACAGUGUAAGCUUGUUCAAGUAUUGCUCCAUGAAGAACCUCUUUUUGGACCUUCAACUUGAUUUUAAUCCUCUUGGAAUGAGGUUCGGUCCAAAUGAACUCUGCAUGCACCAUUCGAACAGUGUUCAAAUUCUUCAGCCUCUUCACACAGAAGGUCAGCAGCUCUUUCGACUCAAGUUCUGCUUUGACCCAAGUCCUCGGAGGUUGCAGAAAGCAGUUACAUUCAGGGCAAAAAAUGAUAAUAACAUGCUUCUGAAGGCCUUCAGUUAUGUCAAUUUCAGAGCGCAGGCAGUUGGCACACAUAUUUGCAGCAUUUGGUUGCAUCAAUAUGCCGCACUUGCAGCAUAAGACGCUGCCAAUAGUCUGUGGCACAGUAAACAUACCCGCUCCUUGUGCCAUAGCUACAUAAGCAAUUUACAAGAUGACAAGUUAACAGAUCGAAAGAUGAAAGUUGAUGAAUCAUGGCAUCUGGCAAAUUAAGUUUACAAGAGAAACCCUAUAAUAAUCACUCCAUAAAAUCAAAAUCAAAGAUAAACUUGAAAUUAGGGUUCGCAAAUGCAGUGAAGUUUACUGUAACUCUGUAGCUGAGGAACAAACUGUAUACCGCUAAAUCAGUUUAUUAGCUCAAAUCUUCUCGCAUAUAAAGCAUGGUAUUACAAAAUUCAAGAGGUAAACAUGAUUGGAAGUUGAGAACCACGUUUAUAAUACAACUAAUCACCAAUGAAAAUGAUUAUGUUCUCAUGUGAUGUUUUAGAAAAUCAACACAAAGCUUCGACUUUAAUCCGAAAUAGAAGUAAAUUUCUACGGCGACUCCAUUUACAACAGAUAACAUACCAAACGAAACAAGUUAAAAAAUAAAUAACGACAAAAAUAAAACAAAAAAAACAAGAAUUACGAAGACGAGGGAGAGAGAGAAUACCAAGCUUUAGUUAUGUUGUGAUUGGUGCGUAGAGGAGGAAACGGACUGCAGAUUUUAUAGUAUGAUGAUGAGAGUGAGUGAAAAUGGGACGGCGUCGGAGGGCCGGCGCAAACACAGAGAGAGAGACGCGGUUUAGCUUAAAAGGGCUGGUGGAGAUGUAUUUGUUUUUAGGUUUGGACUGGGCUGACAACUUAUUCACGGCCCAUCUUUUUAUCACUAUUUGCAGAUUCUACUUAUUCUGGGCCCAAUUUUGUACGAGAAAGGGCAUCCAGUAGUAGUGCUACACAUGACAUGGGCCACCUAAACAAUUACCUUAUACUCCCUCCGUUCAUGAAAGAACUUCCUAGGAGGGAGUGGCACGGGUUUUAAGAAAAAAUAUUGUUGAGUGUAUUGAAAGUGGAUAAAAGGUAGUUGAGUGUAUUGGGAGUGGUGAAAAGGUGUUAUAAUUAAUAUUGGGAAUUGUGAAAAGUGAAAAGUAAGAGGAUUAUAAGUGGUGGGUAUAGUCCAUAAAUAGGUAGGAAGUUCUUUUGUGAACGUCCAAAAAAUGAAAGAUAAGGAAGUUCUUUACGUGGACGGAGGGAGUAUUUUUUUUAGAAUUAACANUAAGCAAACCCAUAAGGAAAAUCAUAACAAGGAAAAAAGCCAUGAUAUAAUGAAUUACAGGUUUUUUAUGAUCUUCCAUUUAAUAUGCAUAUUGUAUAUUUAAUAUUUUAUCUAAAGUAAAAUUGUGCAAAAAGAAAAAAAAAAGUUUGUGCAAAGAAUAAAAAGGAAGAAAGUUAAGACACUAAAAAAAAUUAUAAAUGAUGAUAACCUUUUAAUUGAAUUUAUUCACACUUCUCUAUUUUUAUACUUCCUCCGUCCGCAAUAUCGUUUCCACAUUGUGGCGACGCGGGUUUUAAGAAAAUUGAUGGAUAGUAGUAGAUAGUAGUGAACAUUGUAGUGAGUGGAGUUUGGGUUCCACUAUUAUUGUGAGUGGAAGUUUGUGGUACCUACUUCUAUAUAAUUGAUAUUACACGGAUUCAGUUGAACCAUUUCAUAUAUGAGGAUUGAAUAAAAUAAAAACUUAUUAUAAAUUAAAUCAGAAGUCAUUUUCAAUAUUUAAAUCUUAAAAAUCUGCUUGGAAUCCAUCACCUUCAUAAAUCUUCACAGAACUUAAUUAAACAACUCUCUAUAUGGAGACUCGAUAAAAAAAUUGAAAAAUCAAAUGAAAAAUAAUAAAAAAUUAUUUUCAAUGUUUAAAUCGUGAAGAUCUAACGUGAAUAAAUUUGUCACUUUGCUAAAUGGAUUCUGACGAGGAGUGAAGUAAGGAGAUGACUGAGAUAAUAGCGUGUAUGCUAAGGUGGCAAAAACGUUGAACAGAGGAGACGGAAUGCCAACAGACUAAAGAGAAAGUCAACGAUAAAUCCAAGACUUGAGCAAAGUCAAAUUUCAGAGGAGAAGAAUACCGCUAUGAGGCAGAGCAGGACAGAAGGAAGAGUUUCAAGUACUGUCGUAGACAACUCUGCCCCGAUUUGGUGACGUCAUCCGAAUCUGACACCUCAAUUCCAGCUCUGCAAGACGCAUGAUUUAGUUAGGAAAUUAUCAUUUUAUCCCUUUAAUCUCGUAUCUUAUAAAUAAGUGUACUUUUCCGUUCCAUUUUCGUCAUCAUUUACACUUGUGCAGGUAAUCCACUAUUUACAUUGAAAUCCCACGUUAUAAUUCAACAGAUUCGUAAUCUCAAAUUCAAACUUCUCAUUCGAACCAAUAAGAGAAGGGAUUAAAUCACAUAUAAACACACUUUAGUAUAAAAAAAUAAGAACCAAUCCUCAGCCUCACUCAAUCUCGUUUCAUUUGGAAACGGACCACUUGUACUGAAAGAAGCUUGGUUUUUUUCACCAAUUGAAAUUUGAACCAAAGUGUUGAUUAUCUACAUGAUUUAUUAUAGUACUAUGUUUUACUGAGCGUGCAAAAUAGCUGAACAGAGGCAUUUGCUCUUCCAAAAUAAAUAGCAUGACAUUAUCAAUUUAUCAUCACAAGAUACUUGCAAAAACAGGUCAAAAAAUCGAAUGGAAGGUGCAGAUUAUCACUAGGCACAACCAAUAUGCAUAAAAAAGAUGAACUAGUCAUAAAAGAAGAGUGACAGCCUGCAAACACACUUCAGAAUAUAUUAGACAGGACUCCAAAGUUAUUCCACCAUUUCAUCCUCAGCUUCCUCAUCAGCUAGAUCAAGAUCUGCAAGCAGCUCAUCUAACGGAACAGAAGGAACAUCCUCACCAUCAGUCACGGAGGCCAUUGAUGGCUCGUAUUCUUUAUUGCGGUACAGGGAUAGAUUGAAUCUCAAAUCAGGAUUCUCUUCAAGAUCUCUCAAGAACUGUUCGUACUCCGUGUUCAUCUUCUCCUCAUGAUCUCUAGCUCUGGUAGAAUCGUCGACCUCCAUGUUGAGAGACUUGAGCUUCCAUGAACGAGACUUGCGCUGUCUCUGUUGGCGCUUCUCUUCAUAGCUCUUUUUAAUCAAUAUGACAUCAGGGAUAUCACCUCUGUAUUUGUCCAGUUCAAAAUCAUUACUAUUGGCACUGUACAGGUCAUAACCAAGAGCAUAAUCCCCACAACUCAAGAGAUGCCCCAAAUGUGUUCUCACAAUGAACUGUCGGUCAUUCUGCCCCAUAUCUGAUACGCGUGCUACAUGGGCAUCAGCCAAAACAUAUUUUGAUCCACCAUUGUUCUCUUCAGAAUGAACCUCCUCCAUAUCUAGUAUUAUGUAUUCUGUAAGCUGUCUGCUUGAUAAUAAGGCCUUAAAAGAUGAUCUCCAAUACUGCUCAGCAUCCAAGAAGCAUUGCCUGAGGGUCCGUGGAUCUAAUAGAGCUAUGCUGUUGCUUACUUUAGUGCAUAUCACUAGUGGUCCGAGAUUUCCCAAACUAACAGAGACUUUAGGUGGAAGACAAAUCAGAUCUUCACGACAGAUAGGACUAAUUUCAACAGAGAAAGUGUACUUGUAAUUGUAAGUAUUGCUCUUUGAGUCCUGAGACACAAGUUGCUUAUCCGUACGGCUCCUAGUUGGUGCUACUUUACCAACGAACUCAACAAACUUCACGCCAUGACUACGUUUACCGAAGAAGAAAUCAAUACCAUGAUCCAUCUGCUUAAUUCUGAUGGCAUCUUUAGCAGCGUCGUGCUUAAGGAUGAGCUGCUCCAGGUAGAAAAAAGUGCGCCUGUGAGAAACAUGCUGUCGCAAUUGUACUGCAGCAACCCACUGAUCUGGAUUAGCCUGAACCUUCGCACAAGAUUCACACAACUGAUCUUGCACAACAUAUUCGACAGUGUAAGCUUGUUCAAGUAUUGCUCCAUGAAGAACCUCUUUUUGGACCUUCAACUUGAUUUUAAUCCUCUUGGAAUGAGGUUCGGUCCAAAUGAACUCUGCAUGCACCAUUCGAACAGUGUUCAAAUUCUUCAGCCUCUUCACGCAGAAGGUCAGCAGCUCUUUCGACUCAAGUUCUGCUUUGACCCAAGUCCUCGGAGGUUGCAGAAAGCAGUUACAUUCAGGGCAAAAAAUGAUAAUAACAUGCUUCUGAAGGCCUUCAGUUAUGUCAAUUUCAGAGCGCAGGCAGUUGGCACACAUAUUUGCAGCAUUUGGUUGCAUCAAUAUGCCGCACUUGCAGCAUAAGAC